rnacentral:rRNA from 1 species
GUUAGGAAUAUUCGUCAAUGGGGGAAACCCUGAACGAGCAAUGCCGCGUGAGUGAUGAAGGUCCUCUGGAUUGUAAAACUCUGUUGUAUGGAAAAAAUGACUAUAUUAGGAAAUGAAUAUAGAGUGAUGGUACCAUACGAGAAAGCUCCGGCUAACUACGUGCCAGCAGCCGCGGUAAUACGUAGGGAGCGAGCGUUAUCCGGAUUUAUUGGGCGUAAAGCGUGCGUAGGCGGUUUAUUAAGUUUAAGAUGAAAGGCUGGGGCUCAACUCCAGUUUGUCUUAAAAACUGGUAAGCUUGAGUAUGGUAGAGGUAAAUGGAAUUUCUAGUGUAGCGGUGGAAUGCGUAGAUAUUAGAAGGAACACCAGUGGCGAAAGCGAUUUACUAGGCCAAAACUGACGCUGAGGCACGAAAGCGUGGGGAGCAAAUAGGAUUAGAUACCCUAGUAGUCC